rnacentral:rRNA from 1 species
UACGUAGGCAGCAAACGUUGUUCGGAAUUACUGGGCGUAAAGAGUGUGUAGGCGGUUUUGUUAGUUUGGUGUGAAAUCUCCCGGCUUAACUGGGAGGGUGCGCCGAAUACUGCAAAGCUUGAGUACUGGAGAGGAUAGCGGAAUUCCUGGUGUAGCGGUGAAAUGCGUAGAUAUCUGGAGGAACACCGGUGGCGAAGGCGGCAUCCUGGACCAAUAUUGACGCUGAGGAGCGAAAGCCAGGGGAGCAAACGGG